rnacentral:rRNA from 1 species
UGGUAGCGGCCUGAGAGGGCGACCGGCCACACUGGGACUGAGACACGGCCCAGACUCGUACGGGAGGCAGCAGGGGGAAUAUUGCACAAUGGGCGAAAGCCUGAUGCAGCGACGCCGCGUGAGGGAUGACGGCCUUCGGGUUGUAAACCUCUUUCAGCAGGGAAGAAGCGAAAGUGACGGUACCUGCAGAAGAAGCGCCGGCUAACUACGUGCCAGCAGCCGCGGUAAUACGUAGGGCGCAAGCGUUGUCCGGAAUUAUUGGGCGUAAAGAGCUCGUAGGCGGCUUGUCACGUCGGUUGUGAAAGCCCGGGGCUUAACCCCGGGUCUGCAUUCGAUACGGGCAGGCUAGAGUGCGGUAGGGGAGAUCGGAAUUCCUGGUGUAGCGGUGAAAUGCGCAGAUAUCAGGAGGAACACCGGUGGCGAAGGCGGAUCUCUGGGCCGAUACUGACGCUGAGGAGCGAAAGCGUGGGGAGCGAACAGGAUUAGAUACCCUGGUAGUCCACGCCGUAAACGGUGGGCACUAGGUGUGGGCGACAUUCCACGUCGUCCGUGCCGCAGCUAACGCAUUAAGUGCCCCGCCUGGGGAAGUCCGGAGGGGCUGGGA